rnacentral:rRNA from 1 species
UACGUAGGUGGCAAGCGUUGCUCGGAAUUAUUGGGCGUAAAGCGCACGUAGGCGGCUUGGCAAGUCGGAUGUGAAAUCCCUCGGCUCAACCAAGGAAGUGCAUCCGAAACUGCUGAGCUUGAGUACUUAAGAGGAUCGCGGAAUUCCCGGUGUAGAGGUGAAAUUCGUAGAUAUCGGGAGGAACACCAGUGGCGAAGGCGGCGAUCUGGGAAGAUACUGACGCUGAGGUGCGAAAGCGUGGGGAGCAAACAGG